UGAAGGCAGCCGCUUCACCAAUUGGGUCGCCCAGGGGCAGAGGAAGAGGGAGAGAAUUUAUGCUGACUUUGGAGUCCCACUCAGGGCUGGAUUCCAUGACACUCAGUUCAUGACCUGGGCUGAAACCAAGAGUUGAACACUGAACUGACUCAGCCACCCAGUUCCAGAAAGCUGACUCUGAUCUGGAUUACAUUCAAUACAGGCUGGAAUAUGAAAUCAAGACUGAUCAUCCUGUUACAGCAGGCAAGAUCAACCAACCAGUUUGGUCCAGUGAUAUUGCCUAAUGACUGUCCACAGGACUCAUCUGAGUCAAUAUAUUUCAGAAAAAUCCAGUUACACUCUUAAAGGAAUUGUCAGCAAUAAAGUCUCGAUAUCAAACUUUGCAUGCACGCUUUAAAUCAAUUACUACAGAGCAGAAAGAGACUAAGAACCGC